rnacentral:lncRNA from 1 species
AUUUCAAUUUAGCAAAACCUUGGCCAGGGUAAUCCAUUAGAUGGAUUUGAUAUUUUGAAAUACAAUGUGGACAACCUGAUCAGAGUUGACAGUUGAACUCUGGGGUGUCCUAUGAUUAUUUUGGUCAAGGAGAUGAAUUAUAUGAAAACUAUAUCCGCAUGGGUUCUAAGGAUGUUGUUCUACACAUUCGACCUAUCCGAUCGUCGGGUACCAUUGCUAGAUGGUCACUUCGAUUGGUAUAAAAAUUUAUUCUUAUACUACCGGCUUAGGUUCGGACCUAUGAGGUCAUACACAUUAGAGUUCAUGAUCUGAUCGGAUGGUUGAUCAACGAUUAAGAAUCAUUCUAGGGUUAAAUGAUCAAUACGAUUGACAUUUAACCCAGUGCAAGUGUUGCAGGAGGAUCGAUUAGCAAUUCGAUUACUAAUUGGCUUAAUUUGAUUAAGUCAAUAGGCUGAGAUUAAGUCUAAUUAAAUAUGAUUUAAUUAGAUUUAGUUUGGGCUAGAUUGGAUCAAGUCCAAUUGGUUUAUUGGAUAAGCCAAGUGCAAGGAAAAACUAGUCCUAGUUCAACUAGGACUUGGGUCAAUCUAAUUUCUAAUUUGAUUAGA